AUUGAACGCUGGCGGCAGGCCUAACACAUGCAAGUCGAACGGUGGCACAGAGAGCUUGCUCUCGGGUGACGAGUGGCGGACGGGUGAGUAACGUCUGGGAAACUGCCCGAUGGAGGGGGAUAACUACUGGAAACGGUAGCUAAUACCGCAUAACGUCGCAAGACCAAAGUGGGGGACCUUCGGGCCUCACACCAUCGGAUGUGCCCAGAUGGGAUUAGCUAGUAGGUGGGGUAAUGGCUCACCUAGGCGACGAUCCCUAGCUGGUCUGAGAGGAUGACCCGCCACACUGGAACCGAGACACGGUCCAGACUCCUACGGGAGGCAGCAGUGGGGAAUAUUGCACAAUGGGCGCAAGCCUGAUGCAGCCAUGCCGCGUGUAUGAAGAAGGCCUUCGGGUUGUAAAGUACUUUCAGCGGGGAGGAAGGCGGUGAAGUUAAUAGCUUCACCGAUUGACGUUACCCGCAGAAGAAGCACCGGCUAACUCCGUGCCAGCAGCCGCCGUAA
rnacentral:rRNA from 1 species